rnacentral:rRNA from 1 species
GAGGAAAAGAAACCAACCGGGAUUGCCUUAGUAACGGCGAGUGAAGCGGCAAAAGCUCAAAUUUGAAAUCUGGUACCUUCGGUGCCCGAGUUGUAAUUUGGAGAGGGCAACUUUGGGGCCGUUCCUUGUCUAUGUUCCUUGGAACAGGACGUCAUAGAGGGUGAGAAUCCCGUGUGGCGAGGAGUGCGGUUCUUUGUAAAGUGCCUUCGAAGAGUCGAGUUGUUUGGGAAUGCAGCUCUAAGUGGGUGGUAAAUUCCAUCUAAAGCUAAAUAUUGGCGAGAGACCGAUAGCGAACAAGUACAGUGAUGGAAAGAUGAAAAGAACUUUGAAAAGAGAGUGAAAAAGUACGUGAAAUUGUUGAAAGGGAAGGGCAUUUGAUCAGACAUGGUGUUUUGUGCCCUCUGCUCCUUGUGGGUAGGGGAAUCUCGCAUUUCACUGGGCCAGCAUCAGUUUUGGUGGCAGGAUAAAUCCAUAGGAAUGUAGCUUGCCUCGGUAAGUAUUAUAGCCUGUGGGAAUACUGCCAGCUGGGACUGAGGACUGCGACGUAAGUCAAGGAUGCUGGCAUAAUGGUUAUAUGCCGCCCGU